AUUGAACGCUGGCGGCAGGCCUAACACAUGCAAGUCGAACGCGAGGCGCACGGGGGUGCAAUGUCUGGGAAACAGCUCGAUGGAGAGGGAUAAAUCCUCGAGAAGCUAUCUCAUACCGCACACCACAUGAUAUGUCCAUAGGGGAUUAGCUGGUAGGUGGGGUAACGGAUCACCUCGGCGACGAUCCCUAUCUGGUCUGAGAGGAUGAACAGCCACACUGGAACUGAGACACGGUCCGGACUCCUACGGGAGGCAGCAGUGGGGAAUAUUGCACAAUGGGCGCAAGCCUGAUGCAGCCAUGCCGCGUGUAUGAAGAAGGCCUUCGGGUUGUAAAGUACUUUCAGCGGGGAGGCGUUACCCGCAGAAGAAGCACCGGCUAACUCCGUGCCAGCAGCCGCGGUAAUUC
rnacentral:rRNA from 1 species